rnacentral:rRNA from 1 species
UACAGAGGUCUCAAGCGUUGUUCGGAUUCAUUGGGCGUAAAGGGCGCGUAGGCGGCGGGGCAAGUCGGGUGUGAAAUCUCAGAGCUCAACUCUGAAACUGCACUCGAUACUGCUUUGCUUGAGGACUGGAGAGGAGAUUGGAAUUCACGGCGUAGCAGUGAAAUGCGUAGAUAUCGUGAGGAAGACCAGUGGCGAAGGCGGAUCUCUGGACAGUUCCUGACGCUGAGGCGCGAAGGCCAGGGGAGCAAACGGG